rnacentral:rRNA from 1 species
AUUGAACGCUGGCGGCAUGCCUUACACAUGCAAGUCGAACGGUAACAGGUCUUCGGAUGCUGACGAGUGGCGAACGGGUGAGUAAUACAUCGGAACGUGCCCGAUCGUGGGGGAUAACGGAGCGAAAGCUUUGCUAAUACCGCAUACGAUCUACGGAUGAAAGCAGGGGACCGCAAGGCCUUGCGCGGACGGAGCGGCCGAUGGCAGAUUAGGUAGUUGGUGGGAUAAAAGCUUACCAAGCCGACGAUCUGUAGCUGGUCUGAGAGGACGACCAGCCACACUGGGACUCAGACACGGCCCAGACUCCUACGGGAGGCAGCAGUGGGGAAUUUUGGACAAUGGGCGAAAGCCUGAUCCAGCCAUGCCGCGUGCAGGAUGAAGGCCUUCGGGUUGUAAACUGCUUUUGUACGGAACGAAAAGACUCUUUCUAAUAAAGAGGGUCCAUGACGGUACCGUAAGAAUAAGCACCGGCUAACUACGUG